rnacentral:rRNA from 1 species
GGUUAAGCGACUAAGCGUACACGGUGGAUGCCCUGGCAGUCAGAGGCGAUGAAGGACGUGCUAAUCUGCGAAAAGCGACGGCGAGGUGAUAUGAACCUUUGACCCGUCGAUGUCCGAAUGGGGAAACCCAGUGCAAUCCGUUGCACUAUCGUUAACUGAAUACAUAGGUUAACGAGGCGAACCGGGGGAACUGAAACAUCUAAGUACCCCGAGGAAAAGAAAUCAACCGAGAUUCCCCCAGUAGCGGCGAGCGAACGGGGAGCAGCCCGGAGUCUGAAUCAGCUUGUGUGUUAGUGGAAGCGUCUGGAAAGUCGCACGGUACAGGGUGACAGUCCCGUACACGAAAAUGCACAGGUUGUGAACUCGAAGAGUAGGGCGGGACACGUGGUAUCCUGUCUGAAUAUGGGGGGACCAUCCUCCAAGGCUAAAUACUCCUGACUGACCGAUAGUGAACCAGUACCGUGAGGGAAAGGCGAAAAGAACCCCGGCGAGGGGAGUGAAAAAGAACCUGAAACCGUGUACGUACAAGCAGUGGGAGCACCUUCGGGUGUGACUGCGUACCUUUUGUAUAAUGGGUCAGCGACUUAUAUUCUGUAGCAAGGUUAACCGUAUAGGGGAGCCGCAGGGAAACCGAGUCUUAACUGGGCGUUAAGUUGCAGGGUAUAGACCCGAAACCCGGUGAUCUAGCCAUGGGCAGGUUGAAGGUUGGGUAACACUAACUGGAGGACCGAACCGACUAAUGUUGAAAAAUUAGCGGAUGACCUGUGGCUGGGGGUGAAAGGCCAAUCAAACCGGGAGAUAGCUGGUUCUCCCCGAAAGCUAUUUAGGUAGCGCCUCGUGAACUCAUCUUCGGGGGUAGAGCACUGUUUCGGCUAGGGGGCCAUCCCGGCUUACCAACCCGAUGCAAACUACGAAUACCGAAGAAUGUUAUCACGGGAGACACACGGCGGGUGCUAACGUCCGUCGUGAAGAGGGAAACAACCCAGACCGCCAGCUAAGGUCCCAAAGUCAUGGUUAAGUGGGAAACGAUGUGGGAAGGCACAGACAGCCAGGAUGUUGGCUUAGAAGCAGCCAUCAUUUAAAGAAAGCGUAAUAGCUCACUGGUCGAGUCGGCCUGCGCGGAAGAUGUAACGGGGCUAAACCAUGCACCGAAGCUGCGGCAGCGACACUAUGUGUUGUUGGGUAGGGGAGCGUUCUGUAAGCCGUUGAAGGUGUGCUGUGAGGCAUGCUGGAGGUAUCAGAAGUGCGAAUGCUGACAUAAGUAACGAUAAAGCGGGUGAAAAGCCCGCUCGCCGGAAGACCAAGGGUUCCUGUCCAACGUUAAUCGGGGCAGGGUGAGUCGACCCCUAAGGCGAGGCCGAAAGGCGUAGUCGAUGGGAAACAGGUUAAUAUUCCUGUACUUGGUGUUACUGCGAAGGGGGGACGGAGAAGGCUAUGUCAGCCGGGCGACGGUUGUCCCGGUUUAAGCGUGUAGGUGUGUGUUCCAGGCAAAUCCGGUUCACUUUAACACUGAGGCGUGAUGACGAGGCACUACGGUGCUGAAGUGAUAAAUGCCCUGCUUCCAGGAAAAGCCUCUAAGCAUCAGGUAACACGAAAUCGUACCCCAAACCGACACAGGUGGUCAGGUAGAGAAUACCAAGGCGCUUGAGAGAACUCGGGUGAAGGAACUAGGCAAAAUGGUGCCGUAACUUCGGGAGAAGGCACGCUGAUAUGUAGGUGAAGCCCCUGCGGGCGGAGCUGAAAUCAGUCGAAGAUACCAGCUGGCUGCAACUGUUUAUUAAAAACACAGCACUGUGCAAACACGAAAGUGGACGUAUACGGUGUGACGCCUGCCCGGUGCCGGAAGGUUAAUUGAUGGGGUUAGCGGCAACGCGAAGCUCUUGAUCGAAGCCCCGGUAAACGGCGGCCGUAACUAUAACGGUCCUAAGGUAGCGAAAUUCCUUGUCGGGUAAGUUCCGACCUGCACGAAUGGCGUAAUGAUGGCCAGGCUGUCUCCACCCGAGACUCAGUGAAAUUGAACUCGCUGUGAAGAUGCAGUGUACCCGCGGCAAGACGGAAAGACCCCGUGAACCUUUACUAUAGCUUGACACUGAACACUGGUCCUUGAUGUGUAGGAUAGGUGGGAGGCUUUGAAGCGUGGACGCCAGUCUGCGUGGAGCCGUCCUUGAAAUACCACCCUUUAAUGGCUGGUGUUCUAACGUGGACCCGUAAUCCGGGUUGCGGACAGUGUCUGGUGGGUAGUUUGACUGGGGCGGUCUCCUCCCAAAGAGUAACGGAGGAGCACGAAGGUUAGCUAAUCCUGGUCGGACAUCAGGAGGUUAGUGCAAUGGCAUAAGCUAGCUUGACUGCGAGAGUGACGGCUCGAGCAGGUGCGAAAGCAGGUCAUAGUGAUCCGGUGGUUCUGAAUGGAAGGGCCAUCGCUCAACGGAUAAAAGGUACUCCGGGGAUAACAGGCUGAUACCGCCCAAGAGUUCAUAUCGACGGCGGUGUUUGGCACCUCGAUGUCGGCUCAUCACAUCCUGGGGCUGAAGUAGGUCCCAAGGGUAUGGCUGUUCGCCAUUUAAAGUGGUACGCGAGCUGGGUUUAGAACGUCGUGAGACAGUUCGGUCCCUAUCUGCCGUGGGCGCUGGAGAAUUGAGGGGGGCUGCUCCUAGUACGAGAGGACCGGAGUGGACGCAUCACUGGUGUUCGGGUUGUCAUGCCAAUGGCACUGCCCGGUAGCUAAAUGCGGAAGAGAUAAGUGCUGAAAGCAUCUAAGCACGAAACUUGCCCCGAGAUGAGUUCUCCCUGAGACUUUAAGUCUCCUGAAGGAACGUUGAAGACGACGACGUUGAUAGGCCGGGUGUGUAAGCGCAGCGAUGCGUUGAGCUAACCGGUACUAAUGAACCGUGAGGCUUAACCUU